rnacentral:rRNA from 1 species
AAAUUGAAGAGUUUGAUCAUGGCUCAGAUUGAACGCUGGCGGCAGGCCUAACACAUGCAAGUCGAGCGGUAGCACAGAGAGCUUGCUCUCGGGUGACGAGCGGCGGACGGGUGAGUAAUGUCUGGGAAACUGCCUGAUGGAGGGGGAUAACUACUGGAAACGGUAGCUAAUACCGCAUAAUGUCGCAAGACCAAAGUGGGGGACCUUCGGGCCUCAUGCCAUCAGAUGUGCCCAGAUGGGAUUAGCUAGUAGGUGGGGUAACGGCUCACCUAGGCGACGAUCCCUAGCUGGUCUGAGAGGAUGACCAGCCACACUGGAACUGAGACACGGUCCAGACUCCUACGGGAGGCAGCAGUGGGGAAUAUUGCACAAUGGGCGCAAGCCUGAUGCAGCCAUGCCGCGUGUGUGAAGAAGGCCUUCGGGUUGUAAAGCACUUUCAGCGGGGAGGAAGGCGGUGAGGUUAAUAACCUCAUCGAUUGACGUUACCCGCAGAAGAAGCACCGGCUAACUCCGUGCCAGCAGCCGCGGUAAUACGGAGGGUGCAAGCGUU